GAAUAAAGAAUUCCUCUUCACAAUGAGAAGGGAUCAAAAUUGUGAAGGUCUUUAAAAGCCACAUAGAGAUAUUAUAUUUGAUCUGGAUAACUCAGAAACACUUCACUUAUUCCAUCUGGCAGCUUCACCUGGCAAAGUUAAAGUUUGUGAGAACUUCUUGCCUUGAUCCUUAUGUCUACUGUCUCCUUUGAAGAAUGGCCAGAUUGUUCCUAUUCAGAUCCCAUGGUGCCAAGCAUCACUACUACCCAGGGCUAUAAUACUCCAUGCAAUGGGUAGAGGUGCUGCUUGAUGACCUGUCAGUCACUCAUGAGUUAAGGCAGUAAGUCACACUUCACCACCAAGCUCUGACCUCCUCCAAAGAGCAGCCCGCCAUCUUCCUGAGAAAUUAA